UCCACAUUCCACAAACAAAAACACCAUUAAAUUCAAAAGAAUAACAAAUAAAAAAGUUUUCCUCUAAACAACACAAUCUUUUUUACAGCAUAUCUAAGAUUUUGGUGCUCUUAAAAUGUUUAAUAAAUCAGCUUUUGAUUGUUGGUCAGAAGAAGCAAAAGAUCGUUCUAUAAUAACACUUUGCAAACAGCUUGAUGCCUGUCUCGGAGGUGGUGUUCCUCCAAAAGUAAUUACAGAAUUUUGUGGUGCCCCUGGUACUGGCAAAACUCAGAUGUGUUUGCAACUAUGUGUUAAUGUACAAUUUCCACAAGAAGUGGGUGGAAUUGGUGGUGAAGCUUUGUUUAUUGAUACCAACCAAGGUUUCAGUCCGCGCCGACUGCAAGAGAUUGCACAACAUUGCGCUGAAAGGUAUAUCCAAACGUACAAGAGAUUUCAUAAACAACAAACUGUUGCUGCAGAUUUUAACAGUACUAGCAUUUUAAACAACGUAUCCUACAUAUACUGCAAGGAUUAUGUAGAAUUAUUGACCACAUUAGAGACUGUGAAAUGUAAAUUGGGAUUAAAUAAAAAUGUACGCCUUCUUGCUAUUGAUUCCUUUUCAUUUUUGUUCAGGAGUUUUGAGGAUAAUACCAAUAGGACAAGAAUUAUUUAUGAGAUUCUAACUGAUCUUCAACAAAUGGCUGAUAAAUAUGAUUUAGCGGUGGUAAUCACAAAUGAGCUUACUACCAGAAUAGCCAAUGAAGAGGCAAUAGUUUGUCCAGCUUUAGGAGAUAGCUUAGCGCACAAAGUCGGCCAGCGGAUAAUUUUAAGCAAGCUUAAAAAUGAACAUAAUGUUGCUUUCUUGGCAAAAUCUUAUUUCGUUGCUAAAACUGGAAUUCCGUUUAGAAUUAAAGACAGUGGAAUAAGGGGACUUGAAUAAAUAAAGUUUACAAUGAAAUCAAUUUAACUCCUAGUUUUAAUCUGGAUUCCGUGGCCACUCCAAAGGAUAUGUUGCAUUCCCCUGAUAAUUGCAAGGAGCAUAAAAAAAGAAUAAAAGUCAAUUGAACUUCCCGUUCGUUUGUUAGGAUUUAACAAGGUUUAAAAAAUUGGAUUUAAGAUUGUAUUUAAGUAGUGAAUAUUAUGGAUUUGGAUUUAAAUUUCUUUACAUACAGAUGUGUGUUUAACAAAUCUCGCAGAUUUCUUCUUCGAUGAGCUAGAUGAAGUCUGGUUCUUGACAAUAAGAAACAUAAUGCAAUUCAUCCAAAUUUCAGGAAGGUUCAAGGAGGCACCAACACCUAAUUCCCAAUAAAUCCUUCCCUUACCCAUCUAGAUCCUUCUCAACUUAACCCUGGGGAGCAUAAUAGAUCCAUCGAGAACCGAGUAAGAUGAUUCGACUUGUCGGACUAUCACCCCGUUCAACCUAACCUAAUGGCCGUUAAUGUUUAAAUUGCUUUCAACAAACGUUCCUGAUGAAGAAUAACUACAAAUUAUAAACACACCCAAGAAUAUGUUAAUAAUGUUUUCAUAAUAAU